rnacentral:rRNA from 1 species
UACGGAGGGUGCAAGCGUUAUCCGGAUUCACUGGGUUUAAAGGGUGCGUAGGAGGGCAGGUAAGUCAGUGGUGAAAUCCUAGAGCUUAACUCUAGAACUGCCGUUGAUACUAUCUGUCUUGAAUAUCGUGGAGAUGAGCGGAAUAUGUCAUGUAGCGGUGAAAUGCUUAGAUAUGACAUAGAACACCAAUUGCGAAGGCAGCUCGUUACACGAAUAUUGACUCUGAGGCACGAAAGCGUGGGGAUCAAACAGG